rnacentral:rRNA from 1 species
AACGAACGCUGGCGGCAUGCCUAACACAUGCAAGUCGAACGAGACCUUCGGGUCUAGUGGCGCACGGGUGCGUAACGCGUGGGAACCUGCCCUUAGGUUCGGAAUAACUCCCCGAAAGGGGUGCUAAUACCGGAUAAUGUCUUCGGACCAAAGAUUUAUCGCCUUUGGAUGGGCCCGCGUUGGAUUAGCUAGUUGGUAGGGUAAAAGCCUACCAAGGCGACGAUGCGUAGCUGGUCUGAGAGGAGGAUCAGCCACACUGGGACUGAGACACGGCCCAGACGCCGACGGGCGGCAGCAUCGGGGAAUCAUGCGCGAUGGGCGAUAGCGGGAUGGUGCAAGCUCGCGUGAGUUAAGAAUGCCUUCUGCUCGGAAAACUCUUGUACUCGGGAAGAACAACAGUAUAUGCAACCAUCCCCGUCAUGACGGUACCUAAUCAAAAAGCCACGGCUAACUUCGUG